rnacentral:rRNA from 1 species
CCUACGGGUGGCAGCAGUGAGGAAUAUUGGUCAAUGGACGAGAGUCUGAACCAGCCAAGUAGCGUGAAGGAUGACUGCCCUAUGGGUUGUAAACUUCUUUUAUAUGGGAAUAAAAUGUUCCACGUGUGGGAUUUUGUAUGUACCAUAUGAAUAAGGCUCGGCUAAAUCCGUGCCAGCAGCAGCGGUAAUACGGAGGAUCCGAGCGUUAUCCGGAUUUAUUGGGUUGAAAGGGAGCGUAGGUGGAUUGUUAAGUCUGUUGUGAAAGUUUGCGGCUCAACCGUAAAAUUGCAGUGGAAACUGGCAGUCUUGAGUACAGUAGAGGUGGGCGGAAUUCGUGGUGUAGCGGUGAAAUGCUUAGAUAUCACGAAGAACUCCGAUUGCGAAGGCAGUUCACUGGCCUGCAACUGACACUGAGGCUCGAAAGUGUGGGUAUCAAACAGGAUUAGAUACCCGGGUAGUC